AUUGUGAUUACUACUCAGAAGCGGUUGGAGAGGGAUUUAGAACGAUGAAGACGAAGUAAAAGAAUAGCAGUGCUCUGGAAAUCAGGUUUGACGGAGGUUUGGGUUUCAUAUGGGCCAUUUAGAGUUAUUUUUAAUUGGUUUUUUGAAUGGGCAAUUAAACGUUAUGUUUAUUUGCGGCCAAAUCCAACACAAAUUAAUCGGUAGAAUUAUAUGUAACAUAUAACUCGAAGCUAGGCUGAUGUGGCAUGAAGGGAUCCUUUGAUUGGCCUGAAUUUUCAAUCCCACGUGGAUAGGCUAAAAAGGCGAGCUCAAUCCCUUUUACUUAGUGUAUGAUUCUUAUUGGAUGCUAUUAUAUUUUGUUAGUAAAUCUAGCCAAAAAUGAUAAACCUUAACAAUAAAAGGAAUGGAUAUUAAAGAAUUUAAAAACGUAUAUUCUGUUUUCAAUACG
rnacentral:lncRNA from 1 species